AGCCUGAUGCAGCGACGCCGCGUGAGGGAUGACGGCCUUCGGGUUGUAAACCUCUUUCACCAGGGACGAAGCUUUUGUGACGGUACCUGGAGAAGAAGCACCGGCCAACUACGUGCCAGCAGCCGCGGUAAUACGUAGGGUGCGAGCGUUGUCCGGAAUUACUGGGCGUAAAGAGCUCGUAGGCGGUUUGUCGCGUCGUCUGUGAAAUUCUGCAGCUUAACUGCAGGCGUGCAGGCGAUACGGGCAGACUUGAGUACUACAGGGGAGACUGGAAUUCCUGGUGUAGCGGUGAAAUGCGCAGAUAUCAGGAGGAACACCGGUGGCGAAGGCGGGUCUCUGGGUAGUAACUGACGCUGAGGAGCGAAAGCGUGGGUAGCGAACAGGAUUAGAUACCCUGGUAGUCCACGCCGUAAACGGUGGGUACUAGGUGUGGGUUCCAUUUCACGGGAUCCGUGCCGUAGCUAACGCAUUAAGUACCCCGCCUGGGGAGUACGGCCG
rnacentral:rRNA from 1 species